CAGUGCGAUAAGGGGAUCCCGAGUGCACAGGCAUAGAGCCUGUGCUUUUCUGAACCGUAGGGAGGUUCAGAAACAAGAGCUGGGCAAGACCGGUGCCAGCCGCCGCGGUAAUACCGGCAGCUCGAGUGAUGGCCGAUCUUAUUGGGCCUAAAGCGUCCGUAGCUGGCCUUGCAAGUCCGUCGGGAAAUCCACCCGCUCAACGGGUGGGCGUCCGGCGGAAACUGUGAGGCUUGGGACCGGGAGGCUUGAAGGGUACGUCCGGGGUAGGAGUGAAAUCCUGUAAUCCUGGACGGACCGCCGAUGGGGAAACCACUUCAAGAGAACGGAUCCGACAGUGAGGGACGAAAGCUAGGGUCUCGAACCGGAUUAGAUACCCGGGUAGUCCUAGCUGUAAACGAUGCCUGUUAGGUGUGACUCCCACUACGAGUGGGUGUUGUGCCGUAGGGAAGCCGCUAAACAGGCCGCCUGGGAAGUACGUCUGCAAGGAUGAAACUUAAAGGAAUUGGCGGGGGAGCACUACAACCGGAGGAGCCUGCGGUUUAAUUGGACUCAACGCCGGACAUCUCACCAGCAUCGACUGUGGUAAUGACGGUCAGGUUGAUGACCUUACCCGAGCCACAGAGAGGAGGUGCAUGGCCGCCGUCAGCUCGUACCGUGAGGCGUCCUGUUAAGUCAGGCAACGAGCGAGACCCGCAUCCUUACUUGCCAGCAGCACCGCGAGGUGGCUGGGGACAGUAGGGAGACCGCCGUGGCUAACACGGAGGAAGGAACGGGCAACGGUAGGUCAGUAUGCCCCGAAUAUGCUGGGCAACACGCGGGCUACAAUGGUCGAGACAAUGGGUUCCAACGCCGAGAGGCGACGGUAAUCUCAGAAACUCGGUCGUAGUUCGGAUUGUGGACUGAAACUCGUCCACAUGAAGCUGGAUUCGGUAGUAAUCGCG
rnacentral:rRNA from 1 species